AGUAAAGUCAGCUAAUUAAGCUCUUGGGCCCAUACCCCAAACAUGCAGGUUAAAACCCUACCUUUACCG
rnacentral:tRNA from 4 species